rnacentral:lncRNA from 1 species
AUAUAUCUAUAGGUGUUUUUUGUAAAUGACUGAAUACUUCAGGAAAGUAAUGUUGUCCUAUAAUAACCUUACAGGACAAGGUUUGUCUAUAAAAUAGACUAAAGAGAUCACUGUAUUACUAGGUGGACAUUAAUUAACUAAAGAGAUCACUGUAUUACUAGGUGGACAUUAAUUUACUAAAGUAAUCAUUGUAUUACUUAGGUAGUCAUUAUUUUAUUACAGAAG